rnacentral:rRNA from 1 species
AACGAACGCUGGCGGCAUGCCUAACACAUGCAAGUCGAACGAGACCUUCGGGUCUAGUGGCGCACGGGUGCGUAACGCGUGGGAACCUGCCCUUAGGUUCGGAAUAACUCCCCGAAAGGGGUGCUAAUACCGGAUAAUGUCUUCGGACCAAAGAUUUAUCGCCUUUGGAUGGGCCCGCGUUGGAUUAGCUAGUUGGUAGGGUAAAAGCCUACCAAGGCGACGAUCCAUAGCUGGUCUGAGAGGAUGAUCAGCCACACUGGGACUGAGACACGGCCCAGACUCCUACGGGAGGCAGCAGUGGGGAAUAUGGGACAAUGGGCGAAAGCCGGAUCCAGCAAUGCCGCGGGAGUGAUGAAGGCCUUAGGGUUGUAAAGCUCUUUUACCCGGGAUGAUAAUGACAGUACCGGGAGAAUAAGCUCCGGCUAACUCCGU